GAAGCUGCGGCAGCGACACUGUGUGUUGUUGGGUAGGGGAGCGUUCUGUAAGCCUGUGAAGGUGUGCUGUGAGGCAUGCUGGAGGUAUCAGAAGUGCGAAUGCUGACAUAAGUAACGAUAAAGCGGGUGAAAAGCCCGCUCGCCGGAAGACCAAGGGUUCCUGUCCAACGUUAAUCGGGGCAGGGUGAGUCGACCCCUAAGGCGAGGCCGAAAGGCGUAGUCGAUGGGAAACAGGUUAAUAUUCCUGUACUUGGUGUUACUGCGAAGGGGGGACGGAGAAGGCUAUGUUGGCCGGGCGACGGUUGUCCCGGUUUAAGCGUGUAGGCUGGUUUUCCAGGCAAAUCCGGAAAAUCAAGGCUGAGGCGUGAUGACGAGGCACUACGGUGCUGAAGCAACAAAUGCCCUGCUUCCAGGAAAAGCCUCUAAGCAUCAGGUAACAUCAAAUCGUACCCCAAACCGACACAGGUGGUCAGGUAGAGAAUACCAAGGCGCUUGAGAGAACUCGGGUGAAGGAACUAGGCAAAAUGGUGCCGUAACUUCGGGAGAAGGCACGCUGAUAUGUAGGUGAAGUCCCUCGCGGAUGGAGCUGAAAUCAGUCGAAGAUACCAGCUGGCUGCAACUGUUUAUUAAAAACACAGCACUGUGCAAACACGAAAGUGGACGUAUACGGUGUGACGCCUGCCCGGUGCCGGAAGGUUAAUUGAUGGGGUCAGCGCAAGCGAAGCUCUUGAUCGAAGCCCCGGUAAACGGCGGCCGUAACUAUAACGGUCCUAAGGUAGCGAAAUUCCUUGUCGGGUAAGUUCCGACCUGCACGAAUGGCGUAAUGAUGGCCAGGCUGUCUCCACCCGAGACUCAGUGAAAUUGAACUCGCUGUGAAGAUGCAGUGUACCCGCGGCAAGACGGAAAGACCCCGUGAACCUUUACUAUAGCUUGACACUGAACAUUGAGCCUUGAUGUGUAGGAUAGGUGGGAGGCUUUGAAGUGUGGACGCCAGUCUGCAUGGAGCCGACCUUGAAAUACCACCCUUUAAUGUUUGAUGUUCUAACGUGGACCCGUGAUCCGGGUUGCGGACAGUGUCUGGUGGGUAGUUUGACUGGGGCGGUCUCCUCCUAAAGAGUAACGGAGGAGCACGAAGGUUGGCUAAUCCUGGUCGGACAUCAGGAGGUUAGUGCAAUGGCAUAAGCCAGCUUGACUGCGAGCGUGACGGCGCGAGCAGGUGCGAAAGCAGGUCAUAGUGAUCCGGUGGUUCUGAAUGGAAGGGCCAUCGCUCAACGGAUAAAAGGUACUCCGGGGAUAACAGGCUGAUACCGCCCAAGAGUUCAUAUCGACGGCGGUGUUUGGCACCUCGAUGUCGGCUCAUCACAUCCUGGGGCUGAAGUAGGUCCCAAGGGUAUGGCUGUUCGCCAUUUAAAGUGGUACGCGAGCUGGGUUUAGAACGUCGUGAGACAGUUCGGUCCCUAUCUGCCGUGGGCGCUGGAGAACUGAGGGGGGCUGCUCCUAGUACGAGAGGACCGGAGUGGACGCAUCACUGGUGUUCGGGUUGUCAUGCCAAUGGCACUGCCCGGUAGCUAAAUGCGGAAGAGAUAAGUGCUGAAAGCAUCUAAGCACGAAACUUGCCCCGAGAUGAGUUCUCCCUGACCCUUUAAGGGUCCUGAAGGAACGUUGAAGACGACGACGUUGAUAGGCCGGGUGUGUAAGCGCAGCGAUGCGUUGAGCUAACCGGUACUAAUGAACCGUGAGGCUUAACCUUACAACGCCGAAGGUGUUU
rnacentral:rRNA from 1 species